rnacentral:rRNA from 1 species
UCAGGACGAACGCUGGCGGCGUGCCUAACACAUGCAAGUCGAGCGAGGAGAUCCUCGGGAUGAUCCUAGCGGCGGACGGGUGAGUAACACGUGGGCAACCUGCCUCAUAGAGAGGAAUAGCCUUCCGAAAGGGAGAUUAAUACCUCAUAACAUUGCAGUUUCGCAUGGAACAGCAAUUAAAGGAGCAAUCCGCUAUGAGAUGGGCCCGCGGCGCAUUAGCUAGUUGGUGAGGUAACGGCUCACCAAGGCGACGAUGCGUAGCCGACCUGAGAGGGUGAUCGGCCACAUUGGGACUGAGACACGGCCCAGACUCCUACGGGAGGCAGCAGUGGGGAAUAUUGCACAAUGGGGGAAACCCUGAUGCCAGCAACGCCGCGUGAGUGAUGACGGCCUUCGGGUUGUAAAGCUCUGUCUUCAGGGACGAUAAUGACGGUACCUGAGGAGGAAGCCACGGCUAACUACGUGCCAGCCGCGGC